UCUGAGUUCACUGAACCAUACCACCUUUGGGACUUUGGUUUGCAAUAUCUAAAGAAUUUUGUAGUUUCUUUAGCCUUUUUACCAUCACUUCAAAGAUUACUUUUCAACCGCAUUGGCCUGAUUUAAUUUUUCCAUGAAAUUGUUUCUGCAGCCAAUAUCACAAUAAUGUUUUCUAUAAUUGGUUGCUCUUCAAACACUCUCAUCUGUUUAUUGAGAAUGUGGGAUGGAGGCAUCAACAUUUUUAUAUUCUUCUCAGGAAGUGAUUUUGGGAUUUUCACAAGAUUUUUUUAUUCACUUAUAGUGGUCUUUUAUCAUUUGAAAUUUUCCAGAGGUGCUUUUCUUGCUAGUUUGAAAGUGUUGGCAAAACUUAUGUUAUUGGCUCCUGGAUUUAAAUUAUUCUCGUUGAUCUUUACUCGUCAAACGCAUUAAACUUGGGGAUUUACUUGAAUGUGUUUCUUGCUUAAGGCACUUGACCUGAUUCGUGG
rnacentral:misc_RNA from 1 species